rnacentral:rRNA from 1 species
CGCCUGUUUAUCAAAAACAUCUUUUCUCGUUAGUUUUUGAAGUAUGGCCUGCCCACUGACUUUAUGUUGAAGGGCCGCGGUAUUUUGACCGUGCAAAGGUAGCAUAGUCAUUAGUUCUUUAAUUGUGAUCUGGUAUGAAUGGCUUGACGAGGCAUGGGCUGUCUUAAUUUUGAAUUAUUUAUUGAAUUUGGUCUUUGAGUUAAAAUUCUUAGAUGUUUUUAUGGGACGAGAAGACCCUAUAGAGUUUAACAUUUAUUGUGGUCCCUUUCUUUUUGUGAGGGUUCACUGGGCCAUUUAAUAUGUUUUGUUGGGGUGAUGGGAGGGAUUUAUUUAACCCCUCCUUUAUAUUGUUAUAUUUAUUUAUAUUUACUUGAUCCAUUUAUUUUGAUUGUAAGAUUAAAUUACCUUAGGGAUAACAGCGUAA